GUACACGCUGUGACUAGCAUAUCAAUAAGCGGAGGAAAAGAAACUAACAAGGAUUCCCUCAGUAACGGCGAGUGAAGCGGGAAGAGCUCAAAUUUGAAAUCUUCAAGGCCUACCUUGCACGAAUUGUAGUUUAAAGAAGUGUUUUCUGUUACGAUCGUAAUAUAAGUUCUUUGGAAUAGGACAUCACAGAGGGUGAGAAUCCCGUCUAUGAUUGCGAUUUGUAGCUUUGUGAUACACUUUCAAAGAGUCGGGUUGUUUGGGAAUGCAGCCCAAAACGGGAGGUAAAUUUCUUCUAAGGCUAAAUAUUGGCGAGAGACCGAUAGCGAACAAGUACCGUGAGGGAAAGAUGAAAAGAACUUUGAAAAGAGAGUUAAAUCAGUACGUGAAAUUGUCAAAAGGGAAGCGUUUGACACCAGUGUUGUUUUCUCGAAAAUCAAUUAAAAAUGGCUCGAUUUUGUAUUGCUGAGACCUUAAAAGCUCACUGUACAUUUUUCGUGUCUUUUUUAAUGCACUUUUCGUUUAACAAGUCAACAUCAGUUUCUUUUGUUGUAAAAGGGUCAUUGGAAGGUGGCUUUCUUUUCGGAGAAAGUGUUUAUAGCCUUUGGCCUCUGCAAUCGGAGAGACUGAGGUCUGCAGCGUAGACUCUUCGGGGUUAGAUACAUUUGUGCUAAGUUAUAGCUUUUUAUAGACAACUUGUUGACUAUAAUUAGUCUUGUAGCUUACUCGCUUAUGCUAUUUUACCUACGCUUAGGAUGUUGAGUAGCGACAUACGCAC
rnacentral:rRNA from 1 species